CAGUCGCCACGGUAAUACGGGGGGGGCAAGUGUUAUUCGGAAUGACUGGGCGUAAAGGGCACGUAGGCGGUUAUAUAAGACAGAUGUGAAAUCCCCGGGCUCAACCUGGGAACUGCAUUUGUGACUGUAUAGCUAGAGUACGGCAGAGGGGGAUGGAAUUCCGCGUGUAGCAGUGAAAUGCGUAGAUAUGCGGAGGAACACCGAUGGCGAAGGCAAUCCCCUGGGCCUGUACUGACGCUCAUGCACGAAAGCGUGGGGAGCAAACAGGAUUAGAUACCCGGGUAGUCCCUGUCUCUUAUAC
rnacentral:rRNA from 1 species